rnacentral:lncRNA from 1 species
AAUUAAAAAUUAAAAUGGAGAAAUGAGGAGGGGAUGAGGAUUCCACUUCAUCCCGUCCAUUUCCUGAAUAAGAAAUUAGGUAAAAAAUCAUUCUUGUCCAUUUCCUAAAUAAAAAAAUUGGGUAUAAAAUGGUUUGCAUAUCUUUUCCAAAUGGGAAAAUCCCCAAGGGUCGCCGUCCCCUUGGGGAUUUUUGCCAUCCCUAGUUAAUUGUACGUUUCUGUAAACUUCCUAGUUGAUUGUCUACUCAGUAAACUUUAGUUGUAAUUGACUUUGAUUAUUUUGUAAAUAAUAUUCAAUAAACAAAUGGCGAGAGAAUCAAUAUUUUCUUAAAGAAGAUCCCAAAAAGAAAUAUAAUGAAUCUAAAGGUAAGAUGAUCAAAACUUUGACAAGAUCACAAUGAGAAAUAAAUGAAUUUUUGCAUUGAAAUCUAGUAUCAUCUAUGAUAAUGAUUUUUAGUAGAUGAUAAUGAAGAGAGCUUAUUAAAUGAUAAUUAUCAAAAGUGGGGGCGCGGCUACAGUACAUGCAUGUAUCUCAUACAUGCAUAAAAAAAUAGCCAUUGGAUUAAAUUGGAGUAGAUUGAAUGACUGAGAUUUUUUAUUGUUAUUAAAUAUGAAAGAAAUGGAAACCUCAAAAAUCGGUAAACAUGAAACAUGAGACUAAUAAAUAUGAAACACCUACCAUUAACUUGAAACUGGAUCAUUAAACUUGAAACCAAAUGAACUUGAAACUAAGGGCAAUGAACUUGAAACCGAGGGCAAUGAACAUGAAUUUUAAGAUCCUUAACUUGCAACCCCGAUUAAUGGACCAAUAAACAUGAAACACCUACCAUUAACUUGAAAUUGGGAUCAUUAAACUUGAAACCAAAGGAACUUGACUUAGAGCAAUGAACAUGGAACUCGAGAUCAUUAACUUGCAACCCCAAAAAUCAUGUAAUUAAUGGACCAAUAAACAUGAAACACCUGCCAUUAACUUGGAACUAGAACCAUUAAACUUAAAACCAAAUGAACUUGAAACUAAGGGCAAUGAACAUAGAACUUUGGAUUAUUAACUUGCAACCCUUAAAAUCAUGCAAUUAACCAACAAACAUGAAACACCUACCAAUUAACUUGAAACUGAGACAAUUAAACUUGAAACCAAAUGAAUUUGAAACUGAGGGCAAUGAACAUGAAACUUAGGAUCAUUAACUUGCAACCCCAAUUAAUGGACCAAUAAACAUGAAACACCUACCAUUAACUUGAAAUUGGGACCAUUAAAUUUGAAAUCAAAUGAACUUCAAACUGAGGGCAAUGAACAUGAAACUUAUGAUCAUUAACUUGCAACGCCAAUUAAUGGACCAAUAAACAUGAAACACCUACCAUUAACUUGAAAGUGGGACCAUGAAACUUAAAACCAAAUGAACUUUAAACUGAGGGCAAUGAACAUGAAACUUAGGAUCAUUAACUUGCAACCUUGAUUAAUGGACCAAUAAACAUGAAAUACCUACCAUUAACUUGAAACUGAGAUCAGUAAACUGGAAACCAAAUGAACUUCAAACUGAGGCAAUGAACUUGAAAUUGAUGGCAAUGAACAUGAAACUUAGGAUCAUUAACUUGAAACCCUGAUUAAUUGACCAAUAAAUAUGAAAUACCUACCAUUAACUUGAAACUGUAACCAUUAAACUAAAAUUCAAAGGAACUUGAAAUUUAGAGCAAUGAACAUGGAACUUGAGAUUAUUAACUUGCAACUCUGAAAAUCAUGCAAUUAAUGGAUCAAUAAACAUGAAACACCUACCAUUAACUUGAAAUUAAGACCAUUAAACUUGAAACCAAAGAAACUUGAAACUUAGAGCAAUGAACAUGGAACUUAGAAUAAUUAACUUGUAACCCCAAAAAUCAUGCAAUUAAUGGACCAAUAAACAUAAAACACCCACCAUUAAACUUGAAACUAAUUUUUAAUUAUUAUAAAACUAAUUGUUUAUUAUUAUGUUGCCUUUAUUAUUAAAAUAAUUA